UCGGGAAUUUUGGGCAAUGGGCGUAAGCCUGACCCAGCAACGCCGCGUGAAGGAUGAAAUCCUUCGGGAUGUAAACUUCAUAAGAACGGGAAGAAUAAGUGAAAGCGAACACCUUUCAUGAUGACGGUACCGUUAGUAAGCUCCGGCUAACUCCGUGCCAGCAGCCGCGGUAAUACGGGGGGAGCAAGCGUUGUUCGGAUUUACUGGGCGUAAAGGGCGCGUAGGCGGCCACCGCAAGUCACUUGUGAAAUCUCCGGGCUUAAACUC
rnacentral:rRNA from 1 species